GCGACGACAGCUGGGCGGACGGGACGCAGGAACUUGUGCAGGCCAGAAGUCAUGUGAAGAAUAGGCCCUCUUCUCUCUCAGUUGAUUGUUUCAGGUAUUUCAUCACAGUCAUGCAAAGUUGACAACACACAGGACCUCCAACAAACCUCACAAAUGAACCCUACUCCUCCGUGCAUUGUGAAGAAGCAAUUUUCCAAAAGAGGUCUCACUGAAGAAGGUGUCACCAUGUCUCUAUAAGGCAGAAAUGUAGUCCUGGACAGAGCAAAGUGUAAAUGAAUGACUCCUCCCUGCCAGAAUAGACAAUUAAAGCUGAGAGUCUGCCACAGAGGCGAGAAGCCAAGCUGCAAGGAAGAUUCUGAGCUGCAGAAAAGACUCCUGGAGGAGAAAUGCUGCAAAGAAGACUCUGAGAGCAGCCUGGAAGGAGCAGAAGCCAGCCAAGCACCUGGAAAGGACAAUCCCAACCUGUCAUGCUGCCUGUAGGCUGAGCAGUGUGCCCUAGGUUCCCAGCUUUAUAAGCUCUGACCCAUGCUGAAGUGGGCUUUGGUGAUGCAGGUGUUUUUGAGCCAUUUCUGCUCCUGUAAGUAACCCCUCACCCACACUCCUGUGAGCAACCCCAAUAAAACUCCUUGAUUCACCAAA